UUUCACUCAAUCUGUUAUAGCUUAAUUUUCUAAAAUCACAUUCAUAUGCUUUAUGUCCUAAUUUAUUGCAGCAAAAGCAAGUAGUGUUUUCUUUUUUAGGUUUUACAAAUAUGUUCUUUAAGUAUUUUUGCUUUCUGUUUGUUUUAUAUCCUAAUCCUGCUUUAUCAUAAACAGCUUCUUGACUAUCUAAAAUCAUGUUUAAUUUAGUUGAGCUUAAUGUGAAUUUGUCUACUAAGGAUUUAUAUUUAUCUACAUCUCCUUUUAGUUUGACAUUUUUAUUAAUUAGAUUUUUGGUUUCAUUAGUAAACUUCUUACUUAAUGUUUCAUAGUCAUUAGAUAGUUUCAGCUUAUCUUUCAUAAGAGACUGAUUUUCAUUCUUUAAAAUUUAAUUUUUAUGAAUAAGUUUCGUGUGUUCUUGCAUAAGAUCUAAAAAAGCAUCAUGUAACUCAUCUACUGUAAAGUCACAAUCAAGUUCAGCAUCUACCUCAUCUUUAUUGGCCAUAUAGCAAAUUUGAGCUGUGUGUUGCUAAUCUUUCUCUUCGGAACUUGAUUCCUCACUUUCACUCCAUUCAGCCAUGAGGAUUUUCUUUUUGAGCUUCUUUGCCAUCCAUUUUAAUUUUGGGCAAUCUAUCUUGAAAUGCUCGGGCUUGUUACAUUAAUAGCAGAUUGGUGCUUCUCUUUCUUUCUCUUUGUCCUUUCCCUUUCCUUUGCUUGAGCUGCCUUUGAAGAGGAGUUUCCUUUUGUGGAACUCCUUCCCUCUCAUGAAUUUUCUGAACUUCUUUGUGAGCAUUAUCAUUCCCUCUUCAUCAUAUUCCUCCUCUUCAUUAGAGUCCUCUGAUUCACUAUCUUGUUUUGGAGUUGUGGACUUCAAGGCAAUGGUUUUCUUCUUUUUGACCUUUUCUUCUGAAUUUUGCUUCAUGGUCAGCUCAUGGGUCAUGAGUGAUCCUACAAGCUCUUCUAACUGUAGCAUAUUGAGGUCUUUUGCCUCUUGAAUUGCAGUUACCUUGGCU
rnacentral:lncRNA from 1 species